CACCGCCCGUCACACCAUGGGAGUGGGUUGCAAAAGAAGUAGGUAGCUUAACCUUCGGGAGGGCGCUUACCACUUUGUGAUUCAUGACUGGGGUGAAGUCGUAACAAGGUAACCGUAGGGGAACCUGCGGUUGGAUCACCUCCUUACCUUAAAGAA
rnacentral:rRNA from 4 species